CGGGGAAUCUUGCGCAAUGGGCGAAAGCCUGACGCAGCAACGCCGCGUGGAGGAAGAAGGCCUUCGGGUUGUAAACUCCUGUCAGGGGGAAAGAAGGCACCUGGGUGAAUAGCCCAAGGGCUGACGGUACCCCCAGAGGAAGCCACGGCUAACUACGUGCCAGCAGCCGCGGUAAUACGUAGGUGGCGAGCGUUGUCCGGAAUUAUUGGGCGUAAAGAGCGCGUAGGCGGCGUGCCAGGUCCGACGUGAAACCCCGGGGCUCAACUCCGGACGUGCAUCGGAAACGGGCUUGCUAGAGUGUGGGAGAGGGGAGUGGAAUUCCUGGUGUAGCGGUGAAAUGCGCAGAUAUCAGGAGGAAUACCGGUAGCGAAGGCUGCUCCCUGGAACAGUACUGACGCUGAGGCGCGAAAGCUAGGGGAGCGAACA
rnacentral:rRNA from 1 species